rnacentral:rRNA from 1 species
GGACCCGCACAAGUAGUGGAGCAUGUGGUUUAAUUCGAAGAUACGCGCAGAACCUUACCAACACUUGACAUGUUCGUCGCGACUCUAAGAGAUUAGAGUUUUCGGUUCGGCCGGACGAAACACAGGUGCUGCAUGGCUGUCGUCAGCUCGUGUCGUGAGAUGUUGGGUUAAGUCCCGCAACGAGCGCAACCCUCACUUUUAGUUGCCAUCAUUAGGUUGGGCACUCUGAAAGAACUGCCAGUGAUAAGCUGGAGGAAGGUGGGGAUGACGUCAAGUCCUCAUGGCCCUUACGUGUUGGGCUACACACGUGCUACAAUGGCCGGUACAGAGAGCAGCCACUACGCGAGUAG